CUACGGGCCGCACCAGUGGGGAAUAUUGCACAAUGGACGAAAGUCUGAUGCAGCAACGCCGCGUGGAGGAUGACACUUUUCGGAGCGUAAACUCCUUUUAUAUAGGAAGAUAAUGACGGUACUAUAUGAAUAAGCACCGGCUAACUCCGUGCCAGCAGCCGCGGUAAUACGGAGGGUGCAAGCGUUACUCGGAAUCACUGGGCGUAAAGAGCGUGUAGGCGGGUUAAUAAGUCAGAAGUGAAAUCCAAUGGCUCAACCAUUGAACUGCUUUUGAAACUGUUAACCUAGAAUAUGGGAGAGGUAGAUGGAAUUUCUGGUGUAGGGGUAAAAUCCGUAGAGAUCAGAAGGAAUACCGAUUGCGAAGGCGAUCUACUGGAACAUUAUUGACGCUGAGACGCGAAAGCGUGGGGAGCAAACAGGAUUAGAUACCCUCGUAGUC
rnacentral:rRNA from 1 species